AUUGAACGCUGGCGGCAUGCCUUACACAUGCAAGUCGAACGGUAACAGGUCUUCGGAUGCUGACGAGUGGCGAACGGGUGGGUAAUACAUCGGAACGUGCCUAGUAGUGGGGGAUAACUACUCGAAAGAGUGGCUAAUACCUCAUGAGAUCUACGGAUUAAAGCAGGGGAUCGCAAGACCUUGUGCUACUAUAGCGGCCGAUGGCAGAUUAGGUAGUUGGUUGGAUAAAAGCUUACCAAGCCGACGAUUUGUAGCUGGGCUGAGAGGACGAUCAGCCACACUGGGACUGAGACACGGCCCAGACUCCUACGGGAGGAAGCAGUGGGGAAUUUUGGACAAUGGGCGCAAGGCUGAUCACGCAAUGCCGCGUGCAGGAUGAAGUCCUUCGGGUUGUAAACUGCUUUUGUACGGAACGAAAAGCCCCGGGUUAAUACCCUGGGGUCAUGACGGUACCGUAAGAAUAAGCACCGGCUAACUACGUGCCAGCAGCCGCGGUAA
rnacentral:rRNA from 1 species